rnacentral:rRNA from 1 species
CGGGACACGUGGUAUCCUGUCUGAAUAUGGGGGGACCAUCCUCCAAGGCUAAAUACUCCUGACUGACCGAUAGUGAACCAGUACCGUGAGGGAAAGGCGAAAAGAACCCCGGCGAGGGGAGUGAAAAAGAACCUGAAACCGUGUACGUACAAGCAGUGGGAGCCUCUUAAUGGGGUGACUGCGUACCUUUUGUAUAAUGGGUCAGCGACUUAUAUUCUGUAGCAAGGUUAACCGAAUAGGGGAGCCGAAGGGAAACCGAGUCUUAACUGGGCGUUAAGUUGCAGGGUAUAGACCCGAAACCCGGUGAUCUAGCCAUGGGCAGGUUGAAGGUUGGGUAACACUAACUGGAGGACCGAACCGACUAAUGUUGAAAAAUUAGCGGAUGACUUGUGGCUGGGGGUGAAAGGCCAAUCAAACCGGGAGAUAGCUGGUUCUCCCCGAAAGCUAUUUAGGUAGCGCCUCGUGAAUUCAUCUCCGGGGGUAGAGCACUGUUUCGGCAAGGGGGUCAUCCCGACUUACCAACCCGAUGCAAACUGCGAAUACCGGAGAAUGUUAUCACGGGAGACACACGGCGGGUGCUAACGUCCGUCGUGAAGAGGGAAACAACCCAGACCGCCAGCUAAGGUCCCAAAGUCAUGGUUAAGUGGGAAACGAUGUGGGAAGGCCCAGACAGCCAGGAUGUUGGCUUAGAAGCAGCCAUCAUUUAAAGAAAGCGUAAUAGCUCACUGGUCGAGUCGGCCUGCGCGGAAGAUGUAACGGGGCUAAACCAUGCACCGAAGCUGCGGCAGCGACACUAUGUGUUGUU